GAUUAACGCUAGCGGCAGGCCUAAUACAUGCAAGUCGAACGGGAUUUCGGUUAGCAAUAACUGAAUGAGAGUGGCGCACGGGUGCGUAACACGUAUGCAACCUACCUAUAACUGGGGGGAUAGCCUCCCGAAAGGGAGAUUAACACCGCAUAACAUUAUGAAGUGGCAUCACUUUAUAAUUAAAUCUACGGAGGUUAUAGAUGGGCAUGCGUCCGAUUAGCUAGUUGGUGAGGUAACGGCUCACCAAGGCUCCGAUCGGUAGGGGGGUCUGAGAGGAUGAUCCCCCACACUGGUACUGAGACACGGGACCAGACUCCUACGGGAGGCAGCAGUAGGAUAUUGGACAAUGGGCGCAAGCCUGAUCCAGCC
rnacentral:rRNA from 1 species